UCAUGUAAGCAGUGUGAAAAA
ensembl:piRNA 21ur-2211 ncRNA